CAGGGCCUGGCCUCCUCCCUGGCUUCUCACAAGGCAUUUGAUCCCCACAGGGCUCAAGGGAGGGAUCUAUGCUCAGCCUGCAAGUAGUGACAGUUUCCAGAGCUCUGAUUCAUCUGAUUCAUCUCUCAUGGCUUGUAAAGCAUGAGACAGCUGCCUUGGGGUGACUGAGCCACACCCGACUUCUCCAGCCCAGGCCCUGUGACCUCAAGAACACCCAAAUCCCCUCCCUGCAAAGGCUUCCCAGUGUG